AGCUGUUAAAAAAGAAUACUUUGAAUGUGUUAAAGAAAAACAGCAAAUGAAAUACUUUCAACGCUUAUUUAUUGAUAGCAGAAAAAAUCAACGAAUGAAGGUAACCUGACAAUGGAAUAUUUUUAGAGAUAUAUUAAGCGAAUGGUUUACUUACAAGACAAUCAUGUGAACUUGGGUGAAGUGUUCUUAAAAAGCUAACAAAACAGACAAAAUGGAGAAUGUAUUAUUCAUUCAUUUAAUUAUUGCUGGUCUAGUAUUAUGCUUCAGCCAAUCGUUAAUAGUUGAAUUAGCGAAAAGUCAUAAUGUUUAUCCAACUUCGAUUCGACGUUCUUUCUGAUCAUAGAUGCAUCACAUUCAGCGUGAUUGUAAAAACUUGUAAUGACUCUACAUUAGGAAUUCAAGUUGAAUUUCAUUGUAGUCGUUCCGACAAAUAGGGGAAACCAAUUCAUAGGAUUCCACAACAUUUCUAGAGGUUAUUUGGCUAGUAGAAUUAAAUUUUGCGUGCGAUUGCUUUUGCUAGAAUAAUUGUCAGUUAUCCAGACUUUUAGAGGAACUUUUGAAGACUUAGAUGUGACACCCAGCACCUUAAAACUUAAUGAGUUGGGAUUGAACAGGGUGUACCAAAUCAAGUGCGUACUAGCAGUAACUUUGUUAAUACCUGGGGAAAAGCCCUGGUUUAAAUAGCAGAGCCAAUUUUUCUUACUUUCUACCUUUUUAAAAAUUUGUUUUUUUCUAUCAUCUAUACAAUGCGAUGUUGUUGUUUUUUAGUAUCACCAGAGUAAAAAAAACUUGCCAUUAAACCAAGAUUUGUUACCCAUUAAUCAGAAAUUAACCAUUGGCCUAGUAGCAGUCUAUUGGGUCAUUCUAUUAUUGAUUCGUUGUUUAUAGAUAGGCAUUUAAAUGCGCUGCUUAUGCCAAUACGCUGGAAAAGAUUAUGGACUUGGAUUAUGUUCCAAGUUGGCAUAAAAGUAAAUAUCUCUAUAAACGAAUGCUUACUACAUUUUAACACAACGAAGUACAUGCCAUUGAGUGUUUCCGUUUAGACAAUGAUUAUUUAAUUAUCAUUAUACAAAUAAAAGCAUUGAUAGGCCAAUCUGGCAAUGGAUUUAUGGCAAGUAGAAAUAACUGAUAAUUUGAUUUAAUCAAAAUAUUUAUGUUAACUAUAUUGUCGAUAAUGCUGCUGUUUAGUUUCGGUUGUAAUUAAUGGAUAAGGACCCAAGGAACAGGGGCUCAAGCCAUAAGGAAACAUUUAUUUAAAAGAGCUUGACCCACACAUGAAAAAAGAGCGGAAAGUAAAUAUACGUGGCAAAUAACUUCGAGUUUUUUGUCAUUCAAUAUUAAUGGGAUGUUUAGAAAUGACCCAACAACGUAAACACGCCCAGGAGUGUUUGUAUAACUUUCGAUAAUAAAAAGAUAAUAUAAGUUGUUGAUGGUGGGCUGAAAAUAAAACAUGGCAUCUGGGAUCUGAUAGUAACAUUUUGCAAAUAAUAAGACAAUUAUUUUAUAAUACCUGUGCAAAUAAGGUGAGAACAACAUUUAAAACACUUGAGCAAAUUUCGAUUUUCUUAGAAUACUUCCAGAAGUAGCAGGAAUUAUUCCACGUUUGAAGCACCAUUUUGUCAAGCAUGAAAAUGGGCUACUUUUCCGUAAUAACCUACUUCCUAUCUCUUAUGAUUUGCGAUAUUUUAAUGCGCACACCCUGUAUAUUGUGCCUCUGCUGCUGUAGUGGUAGUUAUAGCAAUAAAAGUAGAGGGUUUACUCUAAAAGCUAUCAGGCAAUUAUUAAGAAACAAAUCGGUUAAGUUCAUAGAUAGACAGAGAAUGUAUAGCGCGGUCAGCAAUGUCUCCAGACAUAACACUAUUUAAUUUCUUUGAAACUUAGCCUGUCAGACAUUACGAAAAUAUACAGAGUUUCUCAUAAAAAUAUCGACAAACUUUUUUGUAGCUUCUCUACGUGGUAUGGAACAUCAAGACAACGAAUUUUGUUUGAUUCAUAAACAUUUGAUCAAAAAUGCUGUCUGUUUUGAGAUACAGGGUGUUGGUGUGCUUCUCAACCUUUCUGUCGCUUAAAAGAUAAGUUUAAAAGUUGUUUAUUUACCUAUAAUACACUGUUGAAAAUAAUUUAUGACAAUAAUUUUAACUUUAAUUCAAUUUUAACACGUUAAUAAUAAGAAUACUUUCAG